GGGCGGUGACCGUCAGGGGAGGAAGGAGCAUGCGCAGAAGUGAGAGCGCUCGCCUUAGUUGGCGCGAGGCUGCCUGCCACCAAGGGAAUCAUGAAUUUCCCUCCGAUCUUAGGAGCUCUGCCGCUCUCUUCCUCUCUCCGGACAAACCGCAGGAGAGAGGUUUUACCCUUUCGAAUCACGGACAAGGCUUGUCAGACACAUAUGUAUAUUUGCACCCUCGGAAGCUGCCUUGAGGGCUCAGCAGGGUGCUUGGCGUUUCCUUUUGACAUAUCAGGUCAUUUGUUUAUCUAUAAUCCGCUCAGCAAUUCAUUGUUCUUGGCUCAGCCCGCCUCCUCGCCUCUGAUUGGCAAAGAAACGGAAGCGACAGGAGCUCUCUGAUUGGACGAGAGUUCGCACUGUUCCCUCGGAGACCAAUCAGCGCACAGGUGGGCGGGAACUUCAAAUCGCGCCUCUCUGUUUUCUGUAUUAUAAAAGUUGAUGUUCUGUGUUGCAUGAUAUGGCUUCCUGACUAACAAUCGCGGGUGUCAUCCUUUUCAGCUGAACUGAAUAAAUCAACAACUCGGUGCUCUUUCUUCACGUCUGCGGGUGAGAUCAUUGGGAGUGGGAAACCUUGAUCUUUAGCGACUCCCCCUUGCCAGGAUCGCCGGACCUGAGCCGGGGAGAAGCUAGGGUUUCCUCCCCAAGGAAGGGAACCCCCAAAUUCUAGCCCGAUAUCAAAGUGACAUAUCUGCCUACUCAGUCUGAACAUGUUUUAAUAUUUGUGUUCUAAACUCUCUCCACCUAUGUAGUCGACAGAAUUGUGCCUGGUGGUUGACUGAUAUUAUUAACUGUUAUAAUGCUCCUGUGCUAUAUUGUAUUCUUGUUUUUAUCUUUUAUACUAUGAAUUGUAUUUAUGUUGCUGUUUCUCUGUUUUAUUAUGUUGGUUGGGCUUCAGCCCAUGUAAGCCGCCCCGAGUCUCCGCGGGGAGAUGGUGGCAGGGUAUAAAUAAAGUUUUUUAAUUUUAUUAUUAGGUAUUUUAAUAAACUAUUUUAAUCAUAGUGUAUAUUAUAUGGGUGAUUUGACUGCCUUGAGCUGUAAGGAGAGAUUGAUAAAAAAUAAGUUGUUGUUAAUCAGGCCCUACGAUUUGAUGGGCAAAUUUAAGGACACCAUUCCAUCUUCUUCUGUUUAGCUUUGAAUUAAACAGUUCCUCAAUCAGAGAGCUAUCUUCUAACACCCUUGCAACAAAUCAAGGGUAGUUUUCCAUAAAAUACACCUGGUGACUCUGAUGACAACAUAAGUCCCAGUUUGCUUUGAGUUUUCCGGGCUAUAUAGCCAUAUUCCAGAAGCAUUCUCCCCAGAUGUUUUGCCCACAUCUAUGGCAGGCAUCCUCGGAGGUUGUGAGGUCUGUUGGAAACUAGGUACAGUAGAGUCUCACUUAUCCAACAUAAACGGGCCGGCAGAAUGUUGGAUAAGCGAAUAUGUUGGAUAAUAAGGAGGCAUUAAGGAAAAGCCUAUUAAACAUCAAAUUACGUUAUGAUUUUACAAAUUAAGCACCAAAACAUCAGGUUAUACAACAAAUUAGGCAGAAAAGGUAGAAAUGUUAUGUAGUAAUUACUGUAUUUAUGAAUUUAGCACCAAAAUAUCACGAUGUAUUGAAAACAUUGACUACAAAAAAAAGUUGGAUAGUCCAGAAUGUUGGAUAAGCGAGUUUUGGAUAAGUGAGACUCUGCUGUAAUUGGGUUUAUAUAUCUAUGGAAAGUCCAGGGUGGGAGAAAGAACUUUUGUCUGUUGGAGGCAAGUAUAAAUGUUGCAAUUGGCCACCUUGGUUAGCAUUGAAAAGCCUGCAGCUUCAAAGCUUGGCUGCUUCCUGUCUGGGGAAAUCCUUUGUUAGGAAGUGUUAGCUGGCCUUGAUUGUUUCCUGUCUGGAAUUCCCCUUUUUUGAGUGUUGUUCUUUAUUUACUGUCCCGAUUUUAGAGUUUUUCUUAAUAUCGGUAGCCAUAUUUUAUUCAUUUUCAUGGUUUCCACCUUUCUGCUGAAAUUGUCCACAUGCUUGUGGAUUUCAAUGGCUUCUCUGUAUAGUCUGACAUGGUAGUUGUUAGAGUGGUCUAACAUUUCUGUGUUCUCAAAUAAUAUGCUGUGUCCAGGUUGUGCUCAGCUAUGGCUGACUUCUCUGGUUGAAUUAGUCUGAAGUGCCUUUCAUGUUCCUUGAGUCGUAUUUGGGCAUUGCGUUUGGUGGUCCCUUGUCCACAGCUGCAUAGUAUAUGGUAGACUCCUGCAGAGAUGAGAGGAUCUCUCUUGUUCUUUGCUGAAUGUGGCAUAUGUUGGAUUUUCUUAAUGGGUCUGUAGAUAGUUUGUAUGUUGUGUUUCUUCAUCAAGUUCCCUAUGCGGCCAGUGGUUCCUUUGAUGUAUGAUAAGAAUACUUUUCCUCUGGGUGGGUUCUAUUUAUUUCACUGAGUCUAAGUAUCAAAGUAAUCUAGAUCCAGCCCACUGCAUGUAAUUUUCUUAGAGCAAAUGUUUCCUGUUCAACAAUGCAGAUUUUUUAGAAAACUCUCCAGUCCUAUGAUAGAGGAGGUUAGCCACAGCGCAUGGCAUUUCCUUCGGUGUCGAGGAAUGUUCUUUACUUCUGUCCCUGUACUGUACUCCUUGUGAAGAGCCUAAUAAUAAUAAUAAUAAUAAUAAUAAUAAUAAUAAUAAUAAUAAUAAAACUUAAUGUAUACCACGCCACCAUCUCCCCACGGGGACUCAGGGUGGCUCACAUGGGGCAAAGCCCAACUAGCACAAUUUACAAAGACAACAGCAUAAAUACAUUGAACAAUAUACAAAAAAAAACAGUAAGACAAUAAAACAAGAGUUAAUACAGCAGUAAAUCAAUCAACCACCAAGUACAAUUCAGUCGACUUCAUUGGUGGUGGUGGGGGGGGGGGGACUGCAGCAGCAAUAUAAAAAUAACAUCAUCAGUUAAAAUACCAGAAUAAAAGGGACCUAAUAAAAUUCAGGAUAGAGUUAUAAUGCCAACUGAGGCUGGUCAUCCAGUGACUGUCUCACCAAAGGCCAACCUAAACAUCCAGGUCUUCAGCUGUUUCUUGAAGGAGGAUAGAGAGGGUGCCAACCUAAUCUCCCUGGGGAGGGAGUUCCAGAGCCGGGGGGCCACGGCCGAGAAGGCCCCUCUCUCGUCCCCACCAGUCGUAACUGUGAGGAAGAUGGAAGCGAGAGGAGGGCCCCCUCAGAGGAUCUUAGAGAUCGAGUAGGUUCAUAGGGGACGAUGCGGUCACGAAGAUAGGCAGGUCCCGAACCGUUUAGAGCUUUAUAGGUAAUAACCUGCACCUUGAAUUGGGCUUGGAAUAUUAUUGGCAGCCAGUGGAGCUGCUUGAACAGGGGGGUUGACCGCUCCCUAUAAGCAGCUCCAGUUAGUAACCUGGCUGCCGACUGUUGUACCAACUGCAAUUUCUGGACCGUCUUCAAGGGCAGCCCCACAUAGAGUGCAUUGCAGUAGUCCAUCCUUGAGGUAACUAGAGCGUGGACCACCAUGGUCAAGUCAGACUUCUCGAGGUAUGGUCGCAGUUGGUGCAUGAGUUUUAAUUGUGCAAAGGCCCUCCCGGCCACCGCCAACACCUGGGCAUCAGGCGACAGAGAUGAAUCCAGGAGGACCCCCAGACUGCGGACCUGUGCCUUCAGGGGGAGUGUGACCCCGUCAAGCACAGGUAGCCACCCUAUGCCCCGAUCGGUUGAACGACUGACCUAGAGAACCUCUGUCUUAUCAGGAUUAAGCUUCAACUUGUUGGCCCUCAUCCAACCCAUUACAGCGGCCAGACACUGGUCUAGGAUCCGAGGGCUUCCUUGGAAGUAGGUGGAAAGGAGUAGUGGAGUUGAGUGUCAUCUGCGUAGAGAUGGCACCGAACUCCAAAACCCCGGUUUCAUGUAGAUAUUGAAAAGCAUGGGGGAAAGAAUAGAACCUUGCGGGACCCCACAGGUCAAAGGCCAGGGGUCCAAGCAGGUAUCCCCCAGCUUCACCAUCUGGGUACAACCCUCCAAGAAGGAGUGGAGCCACUGUAGUACAUUGCCCCCAAGGCCCAUUCCCGAGAGCCGACCCAGAAGGAUACCAUGGUCGAUGGUAUCGAAAGCCACUGAGAUGUCUAAGAGAACCAACAGGGACACACUCCCCCUGUCAAGUUCUCUACGGAGGUCAUCCACCAAGGCGACCAAAAGCCAUCUCAGUCCCAUGACCAGGCCUGAAGCCAGACUGGAAUGGGUCAAUACACAUUUUGCAGGUGUUUGACUUCUGAGAAACAGAAUAGAUUCUUCAUUGCCUCAUGCAAUAUUAACAGUGUUUAUAACACCACUUUGGUUUCCCUAGCAAGACACUGUGAUCUCACAGAUCCAGAUGCAAUGACUCAUCCACAAUGUUGAGCAAGAAGAACUGCUGCAUCAUGAGAGGGAAGACUGCUUUCAAGCACCAAGCAGAAAAGCAGCAGAGACUGCCAAAACCUUUAUUGUUCUCAUCUUGCAAGCAUAUUUUAGGGAAUGUCAAAGACCAACCCAGCAAACUUUACAGAUUUGUUUAUUGUUUGGGACAAGUCUUUUUCCUCUGUUACUAUUUUUAAUUUUAAUUUUUUGGAAGGUCCUUAUUUUUCUGAGUUUACCACACAUUUUAUACCAGGCUCUUAUAGAAUCUGGAUAUUCUAGAUCAGUUUUGGACACAUGAGUUAUUCUAGGGUUUCAGUGGCCCGAAAAAGCCUUUUAGUGAUGUUUGUACAUUUUCCUCAAAAUAACCACCCAUGAUCUUUGCACAUUUUGUAUACAUAUAGAAAAUAAAUUGUUUAUGUCUCUAGGCUGCAUCAAACAUUAUUCUAGGAAAAACUGUUGCAAUAAUAUGCUAGGACAGUAACAAUUCCUAAUAUAGUCUUGUUGUAUAAAAGCUGUUCAGAUCAAAGGGUUUGUUUUGUUUUGUUUCAUUCUGUUUUAAUUGUAUAGCCAUCUCAGCUAGGGCUAAGUUAGGCUAGAAAUCUAAAUAAAUAAUAGUGCUUUAAUCAGAGAAACACAAAGAAUAUAACCAAAGCUGGAAAAUGGAAAUCACAAUUUUAAAAAGCCUACAUGGCUGGAAAAGCUGUGGACAUGAUUAAAAGUUCUCCAAGCAUACAAGAUUUGCCCAUUCUAUUAAUUUAGUGUUUGUCUAAUCAUGGAAGAAAAAAGGAAUAUCCCUUGAAAAAAACACUUUACAAAAUGAAGAAAAUGUUUAAUGUUACACCUUAGCCCGAUUCUAGCUUGUCACUCCGAAUUAUUCAUACAAACUUCAUAUUUUGGAAACCCACUUCAAAGCUUAGGUUUUAGAUAGAUUAAAGUUACAUUGAUCCAUGGAUUAAUCGACCCAUGUUUUGGGACCGAUUUUUGGACUAAAAUGUAUAGACUUAUACCUGAAUAUAUAGGGUAAGCUUUUGUGAAAACAGAUGAAGUAUUAUAUGGAACAUCAUAGACUUGUGGGUGUAGAGAGAAAAAUGUUAGCAGUUAGGUCAGAAGGAUAUACUAUACAAGAAAUAUGGCCUGUGAUAAUUGGCUCAAAGUUUAAAUAUAUCUUAAUUAUAAUAAGUAAUUACAAAAUAAUGACAAUACAAACAUCCUGGCAUUGAGCAUUAAUUAGCUAACAAUUAGUAGGAUGUUAUUGUCAACCGGUUGAUGAAUUGUCACUGUAAUUAUAUUUAUUAGCCUUUAAGAUGUCACAAGACUAGCCUAACAGACACACUAGUCUAACAGGCAAUGGUUCUUUCCUCCCACCCUGGACAUUCCACAUGUAUAGUUUAUAUACUCCACUUGUUUAACUACCAUUGGAUCCUCUGAAGAUGCCAGCCACAAAUGCAGGAGAAACAUCAGGAGAAAAUGCUGCUAGAACACGGCCAUACAACCCAGAAACCGCACAACACCCCACUGUCACCAGAUCUUUUUUGUGCAUGUUUGCGGUUACCUGCAAAGUGGCAAGUACAUAUUUGCUAUUAUACAAACAAACAAACAAACAUACUCAUAGGUUCUAUCCAAAGAGCUAUGCAGUGAGUUCCCCAUAUAUGUGCUUGAAGAGGAUAGUCUUCAUAUCAUAGUCCAAGUUGUUUCUAAAAGUAAGGAAUUUUUUAGACAUAAUUUCAAAAAUAACAUGAGAGCAUGUUGUUCACAGAAGUACUACUUUUUGUUGGAUGUUUCCAAACCAUGGAAUUGGUCAAACCAAAAUUGUCCUUUCUGAACACUAGUUUAAAUUUAUGCCUUUGAAGGUGAAAUAUUAUUCUUGAUUAGCAUUUACUAGGUUGCAAUUAUUUUGGCUCACUUUAGGGUUGACUCUACCAUGAGACAAGGUGAAGCAAUGGCCUUAGCCAGCAAGUAUUCCUUGGCUGUUACUCAUGAGACUCCCGCACACCAACUCCUAUUUUCCUCUGUUGGAGUUAUGCAUGCCAAAUAAGUUGCUGCCUUCCAAGUCUGAUGAAGGAUAUUAUCUGAUCAGCAAUGGAUGAAUAAAAUGGAUUUACCAGUCCCAGUUUGCUGGUAUAUAUGCUAUGGAGAUAGGGCAAUAUUUUUGCCUGAGGCAGAAAAAUUAGUUGAGCUGACUCGGAAUGUCCACAGCAAUGAGGUCUGAUAGCACACUGUGUACUACUACUUGUGAAGGGUCAGCUAAAUAAAUACAUUAAAAUCUUUUUGUCUGGAAA